GAUGAAGAACGUAGCGAAAUGCGAUAAGUAGUGUGAAUUGCAGAAUUCAGUGAAUCAUCGAAUCUUUGAACGCACAUUGCGCCCCUUGGUAUUCCGAGGGGCAUGUCUGUUCGAGCGUCAUUAUAACCCCUCAAGCUCAGCUUGGUGUUGGGGCCUGCUGCACUGGCAGCCCUUAAAAUCAGUGGCGGCGCCAUCUGGCUCUAAGCGUAGUAAUUCUUCUCGCUAUGGAGUCCUGGUGGAUGCUUGCCAUCAACCCCCAAUUUUUCUAUGGUUGACCUCGGAUCAGGUAGGGAUACCCGCUGAACUUAAGCAUAUCAAUAAGCGGAGGA
rnacentral:misc_RNA from 1 species